rfam:Gossypium raimondii Chr11_contig_8, whole genome shotgun sequence.
UGUUAAAAGUUUCAUUCAUUUAUACGGUUAAAAACUGGCGUGGCUGACAGAAUAAUCGAAAAUGACAUGUUGCACCACAUGUACCUCAUGCUGAUGUAGGGAGCAAUUUUUAUCAAUAGAAAUAGAUAGAAUUUUUAAUA